CCUCCCAGUGCUCCACCAGGACCGGAGGCUGCCUUAAUGCCUGAUCCAGGGCCAGGUGAAGUUCCUGCAGCAGCCACUGCUCUUCCAACAGCUCUCCCUGAGGUCGUAGAGCCACCAUUUCGGCAGGCUCUGAUCCCAGCGAUGGAGACCUCUGGUCAACGCCCCCAGAAUUCCACCUCAGCCGGACCUCCUAGAUUGUAUCCACGGCUCCUGGACAGAAUCUUAGAACUGCACUGCCUGCUCAUACGAUCAAUGCUGCCUCUUGGCACAGACAGAAACCUCCGGGGAUUCAGCUGAAAAGCACGCUGCCUUUUGAACACCUGGAAGUGGACUUCACUGAAAUGAAACCUCACCGACACUACCGUUACCUGCUGGUCAUGGUAUGUACAUUCUCGGGAUGGUUAGAAGCUUUUCCUACCUGGACUGAAAGAGCGUCAGAAGUAGCCCGGUGUCUGCUUAGGGAGAUAGUUCCCAGAUUUGGAUCUCCACCAGCAUUGGAUCAGACAAUGGCCUGGCUUUUGUAGCUGAUUUAGUACAACAAGUAAACAAAACUUUAAACAGCAAGUGGAAAUUACAUACAGCAUAUAGGCCCCAGAGUUCUGGGAACCAACCGGACACUUAAAAGAGAUAUUCUCCAACUGGAUCAUAGAGACUGACUGUGGGGGGACUUGUUUCCAAUGGCUCUGCUCAGACUCAGGAUGACCCCACGGUCCCAUGACUAUUCUCCAUAUGAAACAGUGUAUGGGAGGCCCCCUCCCAUAAUAAAACAGGUGUCAACAAAUUUGCCUCAGGUAAGGGAGAUGAGAUUUCGCAGCAGAUGGAACAACUGGGUAAGGUAAUAAAUCAGGUAACUAACUUUGUAUAAGAAAGGGUGCUAUUCCCCCUUGGGAACGAAUUUGUGCCUGGGGGUCAGGUGUGGGUUGAGGAGUGGAAACAUGACUCCUUGGCCCCACGUUGGAAGGGUCCAUACACUGUUGUUCUAACCACCCCUAUGGCAGUUCAAGUUGCAGCUGUCACUCCCUGGAUCCACCACAUGAGGAUGAAGAGAACGUACCAUGCAGACCCAGAAAAUGCUGGGUGGACUGAGCAGAGGGACCCCACUGACCCUCAAGAGACUAAGAUCAUCCUUAAGAAGAAGGAAAAGAAGAUCCUGGACGAGCCCCUUCAGGAUGAAGCCACAUAAUCAACUCCUGCUGUUUGGCCUCAUCAACGUGAUUUUGAAUUUAACUUCCAUUUCCAUUGAGGACAAUGUUUUCAUCUCAUGGGCACAUUCCUACGCGGACUUCCACAACACCUCCAACUACUGGGUACAUGGGGCUAUGCCUCUUUCUGUGACAGACGGACUUCCUUGGUGGGUGUCACCGCUCCACCAAUGAGAUUUUAAACCACUCUGCUCUUUUCUGGAAUGACAAAAAGAGACUUUCCUUUCUCUUGUCAAUCAUAAUCUCUCCUUGCUUUCUUGGUGUAAGCCAGACCUACAGUCAGUAGACUUGGAUCAUUGGGUGACAUUUGAUGUAAACACCAGUUUCACAGAAGUAACAAAAGCCUAUAACUCAUAUUUAAAGAACAAAAAGGAAAAAAUCUCCCUGACCAGCAAGGGAGGACAGGCCUCUAGGUAUGCUGAACAAUUUUACCAAGUCUGGGAUGAACAGUUCUGGAUGACCCCAGAAGAGGGUCAAUUAAUUACUCCCACCGCUGU
ensembl:lncRNA